UCAGGAAGGCUGGGGUUUCCAGGUGGCACAGGUGAGCACAGGGCUCAGCCCACUGAUGUACAGUCCCAUCCACAAUGUUGGAGAUGAAGCCAGCUCUGGAGCCUGCCCCUGCAUAUUCCUACAGCCUCUCAGACUCCUAUGGAUGAGGACUAAGGAGACAAAUCAUGCAGGAAACAGUU
rnacentral:snoRNA from 1 species